GCGCCAGUAGCUCAGCUGGAUAGAGCAUCGGAUUUCUAAUCCGGGGGUCACAGGUUCGAGUCCUGUCUGGCGUACCA
rnacentral:tRNA from 1 species